rnacentral:rRNA from 1 species
UACGGAAGGCAGCAGUGGGGAAUAUUGCACAAUGGGCGCAAGCCUGAUGCAGUCAUGCCGCGUGUAUGAAAAAGGCCUUCGGGUUGUAAAGUACUUUCAGUCGUGAGGAAGGUGUUAAGGUUAAUAACCUUAGCAAUUGACGUUAGCGACAGAAGAAGCACCGGCUAACUCCGUGCCAGCAGCCGCGGUAAUACGGAGGGUGCGAGCGUUAAUCGGAAUUACUGGGCGUAAAGGGCACGCAGGCGGUUAAUUAAGUUGGAUGUGAAAUCCCCGGGCUUAACCUGGGAAUGGCAUUCAAGACUGGUUAGCUAGAGUCUUGUAGAGGGGGUUAGAAUUCCAUGUGUAGCGGUGAAAUGCGUAGAGAUGUGGAGGAAUACCGGUGGCGAAGGCGGCCCCUGGGACAAAGACUGACGCUCAUGUGCGAAAGCGUGGGGAGCAAAC